GGUUAAGCGACUAAGCGUACACGGUGGAUGCCCUGGCAGUCAGAGGCGAUGAAGGACGUGCUAAUCUGCGAUAAGCGUCGGUAAGGUGAUAUGAACCGUUAUAACCGGCGAUUUCCGAAUGGGGAAACCCAGUGUGAUUCGUCACACUAUCAUUAACUGAAUCCAUAGGUUAAUGAGGCGAACCGGGGGAACUGAAACAUCUAAGUACCCCGAGGAAAAGAAAUCAACCGAGAUUCCCCCAGUAGCGGCGAGCGAACGGGGAGCAGCCCAGAGCCUGAAUCAGUGUGUGUGUUAGUGGAAGCGUCUGGAAAGGCGCGCGAUACAGGGUGACAGCCCCGUACACAAAAAUGCACAUGCUGUGAGCUCGAUGAGUAGGGCGGGACACGUGGUAUCCUGUCUGAAUAUGGGGGGACCAUCCUCCAAGGCUAAAUACUCCUGACUGACCGAUAGUGAACCAGUACCGUGAGGGAAAGGCGAAAAGAACCCCGGCGAGGGGAGUGAAAAAGAACCUGAAACCGUGUACGUACAAGCAGUGGGAGCCUCUUUAUGGGGUGACUGCGUACCUUUUGUAUAAUGGGUCAGCGACUUAUAUUCUGUAGCAAGGUUAACCGAAUAGGGGAGCCGAAGGGAAACCGAGUCUUAACUGGGCGUUAAGUUGCAGGGUAUAGACCCGAAACCCGGUGAUCUAGCCAUGGGCAGGUUGAAGGUUGGGUAACACUAACUGGAGGACCGAACCGACUAAUGUUGAAAAAUUAGCGGAUGACUUGUGGCUGGGGGUGAAAGGCCAAUCAAACCGGGAGAUAGCUGGUUCUCCCCGAAAGCUAUUUAGGUAGCGCCUCGUGAAUUCAUCUCCGGGGGUAGAGCACUGUUUCGGCAAGGGGGUCAUCCCGACUUACCAACCCGAUGCAAACUGCGAAUACCGGAGAAUGUUAUCACGGGAGACACACGGCGGGUGCUAACGUCCGUCGUGAAGAGGGAAACAACCCAGACCGCCAGCUAAGGUCCCAAAGUCAUGGUUAAGUGGGAAACGAUGUGGGAAGGCCCAGACAGCCAGGAUGUUGGCUUAGAAGCAGCCAUCAUUUAAAGAAAGCGUAAUAGCUCACUGGUCGAGUCGGCCUGCGCGGAAGAUGUAACGGGGCUAAACCAUGCACCGAAGCUGCGGCAGCGACACUAUGUGUUGUUGGGUAGGGGAGCGUUCUGUAAGCCUGCGAAGGUGUACUGUGAGGUAUGCUGGAGGUAUCAGAAGUGCGAAUGCUGACAUAAGUAACGAUAAAGCGGGUGAAAAGCCCGCUCGCCGGAAGACCAAGGGUUCCUGUCCAACGUUAAUCGGGGCAGGGUGAGUCGACCCCUAAGGCGAGGCCGAAAGGCGUAGUCGAUGGGAAACAGGUUAAUAUUCCUGUACUUGGUGUUACUGCGAAGGGGGACGGAGAAGGCUAUGUUGGCCGGGCGACGGUUGUCCCGGUUUAAGCGUGUAGGCUGGUUUUCCAGGCAAAUCCGGAAAAUCAAGGCUGAGGCGUGAUGACGAGGCACUACGGUGCUGAAGCAACAAAUGCCCUGCUUCCAGGAAAAGCCUCUAAGCAUCAGGUAACAUCAAAUCGUACCCCAAACCGACACAGGUGGUCAGGUAGAGAAUACCAAGGCGCUUGAGAGAACUCGGGUGAAGGAACUAGGCAAAAUGGUGCCGUAACUUCGGGAGAAGGCACGCUGAUAUGUAGGUGAAGCGACUUGCUCGUGGAGCUGAAAUCAGUCGAAGAUACCAGCUGGCUGCAACUGUUUAUUAAAAACACAGCACUGUGCAAACACGAAAGUGGACGUAUACGGUGUGACGCCUGCCCGGUGCCGGAAGGUUAAUUGAUGGGGUUAGCGGUAACGCGAAGCUCUUGAUCGAAGCCCCGGUAAACGGCGGCCGUAACUAUAACGGUCCUAAGGUAGCGAAAUUCCUUGUCGGGUAAGUUCCGACCUGCACGAAUGGCGUAAUGAUGGCCAGGCUGUCUCCACCCGAGACUCAGUGAAAUUGAACUCGCUGUGAAGAUGCAGUGUACCCGCGGCAAGACGGAAAGACCCCGUGAACCUUUACUAUAGCUUGACACUGAACAUUGAGCCUUGAUGUGUAGGAUAGGUGGGAGGCUUUGAAGUGUGGACGCCAGUCUGCAUGGAGCCGACCUUGAAAUACCACCCUUUAAUGUUUGAUGUUCUAACGUUGGCCCCUGAUCGGGGUUGCGGACAGUGUCUGGUGGGUAGUUUGACUGGGGCGGUCUCCUCCUAAAGAGUAACGGAGGAGCACGAAGGUUGGCUAAUCCUGGUCGGACAUCAGGAGGUUAGUGCAAUGGCAUAAGCCAGCUUGACUGCGAGCGUGACGGCGCGAGCAGGUGCGAAAGCAGGUCAUAGUGAUCCGGUGGUUCUGAAUGGAAGGGCCAUCGCUCAACGGAUAAAAGGUACUCCGGGGAUAACAGGCUGAUACCGCCCAAGAGUUCAUAUCGACGGCGGUGUUUGGCACCUCGAUGUCGGCUCAUCACAUCCUGGGGCUGAAGUAGGUCCCAAGGGUAUGGCUGUUCGCCAUUUAAAGUGGUACGCGAGCUGGGUUUAGAACGUCGUGAGACAGUUCGGUCCCUAUCUGCCGUGGGCGCUGGAGAACUGAGGGGGCUGCUCCUAGUACGAGAGGACCGGAGUGGACGCAUCACUGGUGUUCGGGUUGUCAUGCCAAUGGCACUGCCCGGUAGCUAAAUGCGGAAGAGAUAAGUGCUGAAAGCAUCUAAGCACGAAACUUGCCCCGAGAUGAGUUCUCCCUGACUCCUUGAGAGUCCUGAAGGAACGUUGAAGACGACGACGUUGAUAGGCCGGGUGUGUAAGCGCAGCGAUGCGUUGAGCUAACCGGUACUAAUGAACCGUGAGGCUUAACCUU
rnacentral:rRNA from 1 species